GAUGAAGAACGCAGCGAAAUGCGAUAAGUAAUGUGAAUUGCAGAAUUCAGUGAAUCAUCGAAUCUUUGAACGCACAUUGCGCCCCUUGGCAUUCCGAAGGGCAUGCCUGUUCGAGCGUCAUGAUCAAAUCUCAAGCCUAGCUUGGUAUUGGGUUUUCGUCUUUCUCGUAUUCACACGGGUAUUGACGUGCCUGAAAAUCAAUGGCAGUACCUCAAUAGCCUCAAGUGUAGAGACUGACUCGCUUUGGAGAACUUUUGUAGGUCCUGUUAAUUAAAACAAGUUGGACCUCGGAUCAGGUAGGGAUACCCGCUGAACUUAAGCAUAUCAAUAAGCGGAGGA
rnacentral:misc_RNA from 1 species